ACCUGCUCGGUGGGUGACAGGUAACUGUCUUUCCACCAAGAUGUUCCAGGCCUGGAGUGGCAGGCUGGAACUUCCAGAGUCUUGUAGACCUGAAGCAGUGUGAUGUGGUCCAGAUCUGACACCCCUAUUAGCUCAACCACAGUCUUCACAGCUGCAGUCGUCUGCCCCUGCACCUGCAACACCGGCCACGACAGGUGAUACAGAUCUGCCAACCCCAGCAGUUCAUCUGCAGUCACAGCAGUCGUCUGCUGUGGUAUUUCAUUUACCGGCUGCACCAGUUCCUACUACACUGGCCGUGAAGGGAGAAACUUUUGAGGAUUCCCACAUGGAUGCAGAUCUGCCAUGCACUUCACCGCUGCCUGACAACCUCACCCAGAAGUACAUACACUGGGCCUAUCAAGACCGACAAAGCAGAGAUGGGU